GUUUUGUGAGCUAAAUGUCCUCCGGAUUUCACCAAUGUCUGUGCUAGGAUUGUUUGUGUCAGCAAAUGAACAUAUUGCUGUGCUCACUCUGGUGGGACCCAGGGAUAUUUGGUCGCACACACAGGACACGCUCUGCGGGGCAUUAGGGAUUUUCUUCUCCACAGUGGGCUUUGCCACUUAACCCCCAAGCCUCAUACAGAGCCUGGUCAACAGGAGGUAUGCAGAAAAAUCCGUGGAAUCAGUGUACUUUUCUCCAAAGACAAUCUGAUUCACCAUGGAGGACAUGGGAAGGUCCCGUAGUCAGAGCUGGGCUCCUUCACCAGAAAGCAGUCAUGCAACUGCUUUUGUUUCACCUUUCAUUCCUGAAAUCAACUUUGGUCCAAGAAUGAUCUUCAGUUACCAGACCAUAUCAUACAUCUAUAAAAUUUGAAAAUA